CGCUGGGUUAGGGAGUCAGUGCACUGCUAGCUCCGCUAUCAUACAGGCAACACGACGGAGUGCGGGGUCUGAACGGUAUUCCAACAGGACUCUUCUCCCCCGAUAGAUGCGUUGUACACCAAGACUAAGAUAUGACCAGCGAUGUUGUUACUGGCGGCUCCACGGCCAAGAGGAAGAUUGCGUUUGCUUUGUUCCUGAUCGUGAGUCUGGCUGUAUCACUUACUGUGGGGAUCGUCCUAUAUUUCGACAAGGACAAGAACAACGCAAAACCAUUGGAUUUCAGGCUAGGCAAGCGUUCUGAUGUCAUCGUUGAUUGUCAUCCAGAGUCUGACGGUACAGAGGAGAAGUGCAAGGAAAGAGGCUGUUUAUGGUCUCCGGUAUCUGACAAGGGCGCCCCC